rnacentral:rRNA from 1 species
GCAUAUCAAUAAGCGGAGGAAAAGAAACCAACAGGGAUUGCCUUAGUAACGGCGAGUGAAGCGGCAAAAGCUCAAAUUUGAAAUCUGGCACCUUCGGUGUCCGAGUUGUAAUUUGAAGAAGGUAACUUUGGAGUUGGCUCUUGUCUAUGUUCCUUGGAACAGGACGUCACAGAGGGUGAGAAUCCCGUGCGAUGAGAUGCCCAAUUCUAUGUAAAGUGCUUUCGAAGAGUCGAGUUGUUUGGGAAUGCAGCUCUAAGUGGGUGGUAAAUUCCAUCUAAAGCUAAAUAUUGGCGAGAGACCGAUAGCGAACAAGUACAGUGAUGGAAAGAUGAAAAGAACUUUGAAAAGAGAGUGAAAAAGUACGUGAAAUUGUUGAAAGGGAAGGGCUUGAGAUCAGACUUGGUAUUUUGCGAUCCUUUCCUUCUUGGUUGGGUUCCUCGCAGCUUACUGGGCCAGCAUCGGUUUGGAUGGUAGGAUAAUGACUAAGGAAUGUGGCUCUACUUCGGUGGAGUGUUAUAGCCUUGGUUGAUACUGCCUGUCUAGACCGAGGACUGCGUC